CCUACGGGUGGCAGCGGUGGGGAAUAUUGCACAAUGGGGGAAACCCUGAUGCAGCGACGCCGCGUGAGCGAUGAAGGAUUUCGGUAUGUAAAGCUCUUUCAGCAGGGAAGAAGAUGCCGGUACCUGACCAAGAAGCCCCGGCCAACUACGUGCCAGCAGCCGCGGUAAUACGUAGGGGGCAAGCGUUAUCCGGAUUUACUGGGUGUAAAGGGAGCGUAGACGGCGAUGCAAGCCAGAUGUGAAAGCCCGGGGCUCAACCCCGGGACUGCAUUUGGAACUGUGUGGCUGGAGUGUCGGAGAGGCAGGCGGAAUUCGUAGUGUAGCGGUGAAAUGCGUAGAUAUUAGGCGGAACACCAGUGGCGAAGGCGGCCUGCUGGACAAUGACUGACGUUGAGGCUCGAAAGCGUGGGGAGCAAACAGGAUUAGAUACCCUGGUAGUC
rnacentral:rRNA from 1 species